UUUGAAAUUGUUGACACAAUCUGUUCGAGGAAAGCCUGGUGUUCGACGCAUGUGCCGGAGUCGACGCAUGUGCCGGAGAGGAUCAUGAUAGCAUUAUUGCGGUCUCUGAAAUGAUAGAAGCUCUGUAAGGGCUAAAGAAGACAUCGACAAAGCUCAGUAAAGGCAAUCCAUAAGUCUCUUCCCCACAAACAACAUGCUAGUCUUUACAGUGGCGUAGGUCACCGGCUCCGCCAGCACGAUUGCGCCGCUACCGACCUCCUCAUUUAAUCUGUCAUGGAUCUGGUCAACAAGCUUAGGCGAAAGGUCACUCCCCUCCAGCAGAAUCGCGAUGACGGCCUUCCGUGAACCACCGCAUUGGCUCAGUUUGACGUGCACUUUCUCAGCCACGACUUCCUUUAGCGGAACAAGGCGUCGAGCUCCUUUUUUUAAGGUUUCCGCUUGCUUCUCCUCGACACUCUAAUAUAUGACACAAUGACACAUUUGUUCAUAAUUGUUUAUUUGAUUAAUAACAUGUCAUUUAUGUCAUACG